rnacentral:rRNA from 1 species
CAGCACCUCAAGUGGUCAGGAUGAUUAUUGGGCCUAAAGCAUCCGUAGCCGGCUCUGUAAGUUUUCGGUUAAAUCUGUACGCUCAACGUACAGGCUGCCGGGAAUACUGCAGCGCUAGGGAAUGGGAGAGGUAGACGGUACUCGGUAGGAAGGGGUAAAAUCCUUUGAUCUAUUGAUGACCACCUGUGGCGAAGGCGGUCUACCAGAACACGUCCGACGGUGAGGGAUGAAAGCUGGGGGAGCAAACCGGAUUAGAGACCCGAGUAGUCC